AACGAACGCUGGCGGCGUGGAUUAGGCAUGCAAGUCGAACGCGAAAUGCGGAGGGGUAACUCUCUGCAAAGUAGAGUGGCGAACGGGUGAGUAACGCGUGAGAAACCUGCCUUCAUCAGGGGGAUAACACUCCUAACGGAGUGCUAAUACCGCAUGAGACCACGGGAUCGCAUGGUCCUGAGGUCAAAGGUGGCCUCUAUUUAUAAGCUACCGGAUGAAGAUGGUCCGCGUCCAUUAGCUAGUUGGCGGGGUAAUGGCCCACCAAGGCGACGA
rnacentral:rRNA from 1 species